GUUUUAAUAGUUUAUACAAAACAAUGGUUUUGUAAACCAUAAUUAAGAUUUCCUUUUAAAACU
rnacentral:tRNA from 1 species